rnacentral:rRNA from 1 species
CCGCCUGGGGAGUAUGCUNGCAAGGGUGAAACUCAAAGGAAUUGACGGGGGCCCGCACAANCGGUGGAGCANGUGGUUUAAUUNGAUGAUACGCGAGGAACCUUNCCAGGGCUUGACAUGUGCAUGNCGGUCUGUGAGAGCAGGCUUUGCCUUUUNNCACAUGCACACAGGUNNUGCAUGGUUGUCGUCAGCUCGUGUCGUGAGAUGUUGGGUUAAGUCCCGCAACGAGCGCAACCCNUACUGUCUGUUACCAUCAUUUAGUUGGGGACUCAGGCGGAACUGCCGGUGACAAACCGGAGGAAGGUGGGGAUGACGUCAAAUCAGCAUGGCCCUUAUGUCCUGGGCUACACACGUGCUNCAAUGGUCGGCACAGCGCGUUNUGCGAAACGGUGACGNUAAGCUAAUCGNUNANANCCGGUCUUAAGUUCGGAUUGGANUNUGAAACUNGACUCCAUGAANUUGGAAUCGCUAGUAAUCGCGCAUCAGAACGGCGCGGUGAAUACGUUCCCGGGCCUUGUACACACCGCCCGUCACACCACCCGAGUUGGGGGUACCCGAAGUCACUUGUCCAAUUCCGUUUNCGGGAAGGACGGUGCCGAAGGUAUGCCUGGUAAGGGGGGUGAAGUCGUAACAAGGUAACCAAGGGCGAAUUC